AAAUAAAAAGAGUAGGCAUCACCCUUUUGGAAAAAGUGCAUAAUAUCAUUUAUUUAUCGCCACAUCAAAACCAACAUGACAGAUACAAAGCAUAAUAACAUUGACCAAAAGGGAAUAGGAGGUCCAUGCAACCUGGCUACGAUUCCGAAAGAAAAAACAUAAGACAGUAAACUUGUGAAACAAACCAACAUAGAAACCGGAUAAUGGGGACCAAACUGAAAACCUUAUGUCCUUAUGCAUCCAGGAAAGAAAUACCAAACAGAAACAAACCUAGUUCAACAGCCUAGGAUUAGGGUUUACCUGAAACUCCACACAAAAACUUAAGAGUUAUGCAGGACGGACCCGUAGGAAAACAAAUUAAACGGGAAGAAGCUAGAGUAGUGAAUUUGAACAUUAAAAAAAACCCAGCAAAUUUCACGGCGGCUCUUCCCGGCAACACUUUUCUACAAUCAACAUAGACCGUUGAUCAUCAUCUUAAUUAGGGGGUCGGUGGUGGGGUUGGGGAAGCAGAUCUUGAUGUCGAUGAUGGCGCCAUCCAAUUAGCGAUUGCCAAGGAUGGAAAAGUAGCGUUUGCUAAAACAUCGGCAACUGUGGAAAGGAUGCUAUGGAAGAUCUGAGCUUUGAUCUGACCUCUCCUUGGUGGCAGAUUCUUCUUCUUCCCAUCACCCACAGCUGAAGGCCAGCUUCCCAUCUAUUUCAACAAUACUUCAAUCAAGACAUACGAAACUUAGCAUCAACCCAGAUAAAAUAAUAAAGUAAUUAAAUAUAUCUAAUGCAGAAUUAUUAUUACUAUCUUAGAAAGCAAGAAGCAGAGGGGCUCCGUCUUGGCUCCCUCAGGCAGCGGGAGGUCGAAAGUGGGAAUUAAAGGGAGACGAGCGAUCAUUAUAUACAAAAACUGGAUGGAGGAAAGGAGGAAGUAAUUUACCUACAGCUGCCCAUUUGACUAUGGCCGUCUAAUUACUUCUUCAACCGAAUCUAGAUGGAUAAGAGCACAGGGAACUACAACUACAAACUCUAGAAUGUGGAUUUUUCAGUCUUUUUAUCUAAAGUAUUCAAAUAUGUUAUUCUUUUGUAACAACAACAGCGACCUCAUUGCCAGUGAGUUUCCGACAAAUUGGCGAGUUCCCAACGAGUUUCCCA
rnacentral:lncRNA from 1 species